ACACAAACUCCGAAAAAAGAUUGUUGAAGAGAAGAAAGCCUUGGAAGAUGCCAUCACUGAACACAAUGCUGUUGCCGGGGAAACAGACAAACUCCCUCCUCCUAACGAGCUCUUGGCUGAGGACAACUACUCCUGGAAAUGGGAAUGUCAUGGUGAUAUGGUACAGAAAAGGUUUACGACAAGGUAAUGCUGCUGACAAGACUGAAAGAGGAAGCUGUUAUUCUGGUUCAUGAAGUCAAACAGCUCUGGGAGUACAUGAGGAGCGUGGCAGGAAAGAUUGAUCACCUGUCCUCCCAGCUUUCUGAAGGCAUCUCUGGACAAAGCAGUACUGAGGCGUUGACGGAGAGAGGACGUGAGGGGCUACUUUGUGUUCUAAAGAAACAACUCCACAAAGUGAAAGCGCAGCAGGCCAUGGCACGUAUUGCAUACCAAUGCAUUUUGGGACAGCAAACGGUGUCUUUGGAUGACCCUCUGACAGUAGCUCCUCUACUGAUGAAGAACUUUGACAGCAGUGAAUGACUUCAAGCUAUAAGGCUGCUUUAACACCUUGGAACAAAGUUCUGGUCCUGUUCACACUGACCUUUCACAAACUAACCAAGAUAAAUUACACCUCUACAGACUGACUAAAUAAACUAAUGAUUGUCAUCCUGCAUCAUCAGAAGCUCCAAUGGGUACAUCUAAUUCCAGUGACUGACAAUUAUCAGUUGUCGUCCAUAUGUAUUAUCAUGGUUACCAAAUGAUAUAUGCAUUGCCUUAGACCAAUCAGGGUAUGUGUUUCUGUACUGAUUUCACAUCAGAAGUUAAGCUUUUGCCAUCAUUGUAAAAUCACAUAUUUCUGCUAUCAUAAAAAUCCAUAAGAACCUGUCUCACAAUGCCUUGGUGAAACUUGAAUACAGUUGUCAUUGCUGCAAGAAUGUGCAUACCUGUCAUUGAUUGCUUUUGUACAGAUUUUUAUUUUAAUAAAA